GCUCUUUCCCUGUGAAUUGUGCAACUGCAGAACCUGGAGAACCCCAGGAGGGAGAAGAGGAAGUUGGAGCCUAUUCCCAUGAUUAAAGACAAUGCAGAAGAAGGUAUCCUCAAGUGAGUGUCCACAAGACAACACCUGCAAGAGCUCUGCUGAAGGCAGUGCAGCCAGCUCUCUGCUUCAGUAUGGUCUCUGAUCAUCUCCCUUCCCAGCACCAAACCAUCGUGAAGGCCAGGCUGAACGGCUGCACAAAUUGACUGCUGCAUCAGCACAGCAAAUCCAGGGCCUCUCAACAGCAACAGGGAUGUCUCCUGUCUCCUUAGGUCAUAGGGUACAGGGAAGUGCUGGCCGGAUGUAAAAAGCAUCACUACAGCUUGGGGUGGAGCCAUCCCAAACCAGGUCUGAUGCAAGAAGUGAGUCAGAGACCUUUUGACACAGUUUGACCUGACAGAUGCAGCGACUCAGUGGCAGUGUGAGGAGCU